rnacentral:rRNA from 1 species
AUCUGGCAUUAAGUUGUUGGGUGGGAAGACCCUCGUCAUUUACUGUGAGCAAAAUAGAGUGUUCAAAGCAGGCUUAUGCCGUUGAAUAUAUUAGCAUGGAAUAAUAAGAUAAGACCUUGGUCUAUUUUGUUGGUUUGCUGUCCAAGGUAAUGAUUAAUAGGGAUAGUUGGGGGUAUUCGUAUUCAAUUGUCAGAGGUGAAAUUCUUGGAUUUAUGGAAGACGAACUACUGCGAAAGCAUUUACCAAGGAUGUUUUCAUUAAUCAAGAACGAAAGUUAGGGGAUCGAAGAUGAUUAGAUACCAUCGUAGUCUUAACCAUAAACUAUGCCGACUAGGGAUUGGUGGACGUUUGUAACGACUCCAUCAGCACCUUAUGAGAAAUCAAAGUCUUUGGGUUCCGGGGGGAGUAUGGUCGCAAGGCUGAAA